AACGCACAUUGCGCCCCUCGGUAUCCCGGGGGGCAUGCCUGUUCGAGCGUCAUUUCUAACACUCAAGUUUUACUUGGUAUUGGGCACUGUUAUCCAUCUUUUAGAUGCUAAACACGCCUUAAAUGUAGCCGGCAACAAGCACCAGUUCCGAGCGUAGCAGUAAAAUCUUUCGCUUUUAGGGGCUUUGGGGCAUUGUUCACCGUAUAGUUUCACUAUAGUUUGACCUCGGAUCAGGUAGGGAUACCCGCUGAACUUAA
rnacentral:misc_RNA from 1 species